GCCCUACUAGCUCAGUCGGUAGAGCAUGAGACUCUUAAUCUCAGGGUCGUGGGUUCAUGACCCGCGUUGUGUG
rfam:Mesocricetus auratus contig199040, whole genome shotgun sequence.